rnacentral:rRNA from 1 species
AUUGAACGCUGGCGGCAUGCUUUACACAUGCAAGUCGAACGGUAACAGGUCUUCGGAUGCUGACGAGUGGCGAACGGGUGAGUAAUGUAUCGGAACGUGCCCGGUAGUGGGGGAUAACUACUCGAAAGAGUAGCUAAUACCGCAUGAGAUCUCUGGAUGAAAGUGGGGGACCGCAAGGCCUCACGCUACUGGAGCGGCCGAUAUCAGAUUAGCUAGGUGGUGGGGUAAAGGCCCAACAAGGCGACGAUCUGUAGCUGGUCUGAGAGGACGACCCGCCAAACUGGGACUGAGACACGGCCCAGACUCCUACGGGAGGCAGCAGUGGGGAAUUUUGGACAAUGGGCGCAAGCCUGAUCCAGCAAUGCCGCGUGCAGGAGGAAGGCCUUCGGGUUGUAAACUGCUUUUAUACGGAACGAAAAAGCCUUUUCUAAUACAAGGGGUGAAUGACGGUACCGUAAGAAUAAGCACCGGCUAACUACGUGCCAGCCGCCGCAGUAA